UCAAGAAUCUUCCGCAAUGGCCGCAAGGCUGACGGAGCGACGCCGCGUGCAGGAAGACGCCUUUCGGGGUGUAAACUGCUUUUCUUAGGGAAGAAUUUGUGACGGUACCUAAGGAAUAAGAGGUUGCUAACUCUGUGCCAGCAGCAGCGGUAAUACAGAGACCUCGAGCGUUAUCCGGAUUCAUUGGGCGUAAAGCGUCCGCAGGUGGUAAAGUAAGUUACCGGUCAAAUCUUCGGGCUUAACUCGGAGACUGCCGUUAAUACUGCUUUACUUGAGACCGGGAGAGGCAAGCGGAACACACGGUGUAGUCGUAAUAAGCGCUGAUAUCGUGUGGAACACCAAAGGCGAAGGCAGCUUGCUAGAACGUGUCUGACACUCAUGGACGAAAGCGUGGGUAGCGAAUG
rnacentral:rRNA from 1 species